rnacentral:rRNA from 1 species
UACGUAGGUGACCAGCGUUGUCCGGAUUUACUGGGCGUAAAGAGCGCGCAGGCGGUCGUUCAAGUCGAGUGUGAAAGCCCCCGGCUCAACUGGGGAGGGUCACUCGAUACUGAUCGACUUGAAGGCAGGAGAGGGAAGCGGAAUUCCCGGUGUAGUGGUGAAAUGCGUAGAUAUCGGGAAGAACACCUGAGGCGAAGGCGGGUUGCUGGGCUGACACUGACGCUGAGGCGCGAAAGCCAGGGGAGCAAACGGG